AUGUGAGGACAGGAGGAACACAGUGUCCCUGAGCUCUGCUGCUCCAGAGCUGGGCUCCGUGGAAGAACCAGGAGGCUGAAGAGGGUGAGUGCACCAGCACUGAGCAGCCCUAUCAGACUACUACUGGCGGAGAAGCUGACAGGGAGGACUAGGUGUCACUGGAUUCAGGGGAUGCUGGAGACAUGGGACCGGCAUGCAAAACAAGACCUUGAAGCUUGGCCUGAUCACCACACCCAGCUCUAUGGAGAGAAGCCUGUUCUGGCUUUAAGAAGGCAUCUCCAAGAACUGCCAGUGGCCUGAAACAUCAGCCGAAACCUGGGAAGGGUCCCUGCCCCACCAGCUGUACUGGGAGCCUGGCAGGGCAUGAUUUUGAGCCAUACUGGGCCCUGGCAGCUGCUGACACUACUGAGUGCUGGGAGCCAUUGGGCUGGCGCCCCUCCUUCAGGCCAUGCAGCAGGAGACCAUGUAAGAAACAAGAGAGAUGGAGUCUGUCUCGAGGCUCAAAGCCCGCUUCCCGCUCGGCUGCUUUCUCACUCCGGGCUGCGGCAGGGCAGAUGCUGUCUGAAGGAGAACAGGCGGUCCUGGCAAGCCCAGCUUCCAUGAGAAAGCACCCAUGGGUGUGAUGUGGGUGCUGCUCAGUGCCCUCCCACCCUCUGCACGCCCCAGAGGGGCAGAGGCAGGGUCCUUAUUUAGGCUGUGCGGGAGAGGCAGACCUUUCGCUGUGAGUGGAGGUGCUUGGCUCUCAUGAAGACUUAGGUAAAAGUGUACUGGCCUGUUUUGGGCUUCAGGGACCUAAGUAAUGGCCUCUCCAUUGUUUUAUUUUUACUGUGGUAAUGGUGGCGUCUAUCAUAGAGCCAAUCGCAGGUGGUUUGAGAUGGGAGUGGGGGUGUCAUGUCCAGAUCCACCGGGGAAGGGCUAACUCCCGUGGAUGCCAGUGAGAUGGAAAACCGGUUCUACACACCGUGACCCGAAUGGGGAAAAAUGAUGACCAAGCUGGUUAAUAAUAAAAGGUCAUUUUCACGUUGGCAGUAAUGUUGAGAGCAUAAGAAGAUCUGAAAAAUGAAAGGACAAAGACAUCUGCUUAACAGAGACACAUAUACACCACACACAAACACACAGGUACACAUACACACACCACACACACUACACAUACACACAUACAUGCAGGUAUACACAUGCAGAUAUGCAUACACACAAGUACACAAAUACACACCACAUACAGAAGCACAUACAUAGACAUAUGCCACACAAACACACCACACACACAAAUACAUACACACACAGAUACAUAAACAUGCAUACAUAUGUAUACACAGACAUCCCCACAUACCACAUGCACACACUACACACAUAGACACACACAUGCCACACAUAUACAAACACAGAUACACCACACAGAGAUACACACAUAUACACACACCAUGUAUGCAUGCAAACAUACAAACACACAUGGACACACACAGACACCUCCCCAAACCACAUGCGCACAUCAUGAACGGACACACACAUACUACAAACAGAUGCACACGUACACCCCCUCCCACACACACACAGAUUCCUAACAGGAUGAACCCUCCGGCCCAUUAGGGGAAGCCCUGGUAGCAAAUGAAAAAAAGCAUCCUCUAGAAAGCUACUAUUUAGUGAUCAAGAUUAAAGAACUGGGGUGAGGCUGAGAAAAAAAUUCAUAGCAUGACAUUAAGGAAUGGAUAUCUCAUUAAUUUUAAAAGAGAAGAUUGAAUGAACAAGUGUCUAAUAUUUUGACUGUAGAAAAAUAAAUAAAAUGGCUGUUUGUUCACGGCCAUGCUUUAACUGGGCGAUAUUUUUCUCUUCAUGAAUCUCUUCUACUUAAAUUCUCUCCACCUUGGGAGGUCUGCCUUAUUUCCAAGGCGAGCAAAUCCUGCUCAGAUCCUGGUCCACUGAAGUCUGUCCGAGGAGUCUUUUCUCGCCCCUGUUCUGUUGAGAUUUCCUGCCAUGUACACGGUAGUGUGAGGUAGAAAGUCUCGGUAGUUGAGAUUGGCUUGACCAAGCAUCUUGUUUUCUUUUUUAUUUCGAGGUUG
rnacentral:lncRNA from 1 species